rnacentral:lncRNA from 1 species
UCCAGAUCUCUGCAGCUCGUGUGCACUGUGCCGGGCCCGAUGCAAGGCUGCGCGGCUUGCACUCAAACCUCCUUGGGGUUCUGUCAACUUCUCCCGACGGCGGCGGUUGGGGAAGAUCCAGGACGGUCACGGUCCGGAGCUGCUGCCCACCUCAGCUGAGCGGGACAGUGACCUGAAGAUUGACAAGAAGUGUGUGGAAGCAGGUACCCUUUCCUCUUGAUUGCUGCAUCCCCAGGAGAAAUGCAAAGCGCCUCAGUUCUGAGAGGGACCGAUGAAUGCCCCACACACCCAUUUCCUGGGGCUUUGUGCAGCUUUGGGAAAACCCCGGGCAGCCCCACCCUGCAGAGCACUCCAGAGGCCGUGGGGCACUCACUGGUGGCACCCAGUGUGUGGAGAGCGAAAGGUUGAAAUAACCUUCAGAGACCUCUGAGUCUCUUGAGAACAUAAUGAAUCCUGGAUAUGCAGCUGGCACAAAAACAAGGAUGGUUACUUGUAACGAGAGUGGUUAAAUAGAAAGAGUUCGAAUGUCUGUAAUGCAAGGGAAUGUUAUUCCCGGAGUUGUAAAGAUACAUUUGACCUUUUCCCUGGAAAAUAAUUAGUCGCCGAAUUAUGUACAGAGGAGGGGUUGGGGGUUGUGGAAAAGGUAUAUAAAGGGCAAUAAAGUGGGAAGAGGGGUCUCUCCUCUGCCUCUCUCUCCUUUUUCUUUUCCUCAGAGGUUUUGUUUUUCUUUCAUCCUCUCCCCUCCUCUCAGGUACUGUUCGACUAGUGACGGCUGGCACCGUCACACCAGUGUUCCCGCCGAGUAGCAUCGAAGCCCCGUGUUCUGUGAACAGUGUAAAAUAGUGUGCUGCCGAGUAUUUAAAAAGCAAAGUCAAGGCCAGGGAUUUAGCUCAGUGGUUCCACUGCCUGCCUCUCAAGUGCAAGGUCUCGAGUUUGAUUCCUGGUACCAAAAAACCCAAAACCAAAGAAAGAAAGAAAAAAAAAGCAAAAUGUAUUUUUUUUGUUUCAAAGCUUGAUACUAUCAGAAGAUUCUCGUAUAGAGGAUUUCAAAAUUUUGAGAAAUAUAGAAAAGCUUUUUACAUUUCUAUAUUUAAGGGUUUUUAAAAAGAUCUUUGAAAAGGUUUUUUCAAAUUUAGAAGAGAGGUACUAAAAUGGCUCACAAAUCACCAGGAUUUGGUUAGAAAACUAGUUGGAGGACAUUAGUCUGACAGGUUCAUUUGUCUUGGCUUUUUACUGUGUCUGGCUUUGAGAAAUGAAGGAACUAUUGGAAUGAGCCACAUAUGUUUCCCAGAAUAACUACAGAAUUCUAUCAGAAUACUUUAUUCUACCAAGUGCACAUACUGAUUUUUUUGUUGUUCUUUUUUUUUUUUGGUACCAGGGAUUGAACUCAAGUCCUUGCGCUAGCAAGUUAGGUGGUGUAACCACUGAGCUAAAUCCCGGCCCCCACACACUGGUUUUUAAGCCUUUAACAUAAUAUGCACUUCAUUUCAAAUUUGAAUUAAAAUUUUAUUAAGUAAUUCAUUCACAGAGUUCAAAAUUCAAACCCUAAAAAAGCACAUUCAAUACGAAGCCCCUCGCUUCCUCCUCUGACCCCAUGUUCUCUCUGAAGCUUGUGGAUGCUGUACCCACCUGUGUUCUCUGCACGUCUCACAUGCACACUGCCUGCACCUCACUUUUAAUUCGUGUAUCUUGAAGGUGAUUCUGUUAGUACAGAGCCCUUUAUCUUUUUUUAACAGUUUAUUGUAUACAAAUUACUUUUUGUAGAGAUGUGAGUUAUGUCCGUUUUUUUCUACUAAGAGCAGUAUUACAAUGAACAGCUUCACGAGUAUGUCAUUUCACACACUCACAGUCUAUCUCAGAUUUUGCUGCGUAUUUCAAAUUGACCCCAUAUAAAUCCUGGUGUCGUAAUCCUUAAUCUCUUUUUAAAAUGGUAACAGGAGUUUUUUGUUUUUGUUUUUUGCAGCACCGGAGAUCAAACUCAGGACCUUGUGCUUGUGAGGCAGGUGACAGAACCACUGAGCUAAAUCCCCAGCCCUACUUUUUUUUUUUUUUUUUGAACUCACUAUGCAUUCCAGGCUGGUCUUGAACUCACAGCAAUCCUCCUGCCUCAGCCUUCUAAGUGCUGGCAUUACAGGCAUGCACCACCACACCUGGCAACAGUUGUUCUAACAGGUGCCAAAGAUGGUUUAUGUUUUGUCUUCCUCAGUCACCUGAACAAACCCACCCCAAGCUGUCCACCCCUCCUCGUCUCAGUCGGGGACCCUGGCUCUGCAGGCAGCACCACCUGCUGGACUUUCCUGAACAUUCAACUUUUCCCUUCCCUCUGAGCUGCUUUUAAAAUUUUAUUUAUUCUCCCCUAUUACUUUAUUUAUUGUUCUGAGCUCUUAUUACACCCUGUCAUCAUGCCCACUGUACUGUGACUCAACCUUGAGCUAAGAAACACAUUUUGAGGUGUGUGGUGGAACAGGUCAGCAGUUAGGCUGCUGAGAUGUAGGUAGACUCAGCAUGGACAGUAAUGAAAGGACGUUCUUGUUUUCUGCCUCCAUGGAAAACCAUAGAUGAAGAAGCAUUUGAAUCUGGUAAAUUAAAAAUUAAUAUUGUAUUUGGUGCUGCUUUUUAAAUGUAUAUUUCAUAUUUUGCUAUAAUUUAAACAUUUAAGGAUGUUACACAAUAAUUGAGUGCAACAGUGAAAUAAAAUAAGAAUAAAAAUAAACAUGGGAGAUUGUUAGUUUGCUUCAUAUAGUAACAGUGUGGUAUCUGUAUGUAUGCUGUAACAUUAGGUUGCAAACCUCAAACACACAUAAUAAAAUUUAUUUUUAAAAUUGCCAGACAUGGUGGAUUAUAGGCGCACACCUAUAAUCCCAGUACUUGGGAGGCUGAUGUAGUGGGAUCACUGUAAGUUUGAGGCCAGCCUGGACUACAUAGCGAGGCCUUGUCUCUAAAACAAACAAAAAGUGCAAUAAAGGCUGCAGUUGUGAGACAGAAAGCUUGGAAGUGCUGUCCAGGCGGGGCACCAGCUCUGCGUGAGCAGAGUGGGCGUGCCCAGCAGGGCCAGUGUGCGAGACCUGCUCGGUGACCGCUGUCUCUUGACAGAUGCCUUCCUGCUGGCCAAGCCCAUCACAGUGUGGGUGGCAGCUCUUCCAUACCCAGGGCUGGGACCAUGGAGUCCCUUCGCUGGACGUGCAGUGGUGUCGGGGCAGCCAUCCCCCUGGAAAAGGCGUUUGGACAGACAGACACCGAUGGCAGUCCUGGACACUCAUUCGUCCUGCACGCUGUCUCCUCUGCAGGGAGGGUAACAGAGCUGGAGAUGCAGCAUCUGCAUGCAGCUGC